rnacentral:rRNA from 1 species
UUCCGUAGGUGAACCUGCGGAAGGAUCAUUAGUGAAAUACAUCUGGGGCGUUCUGUUCUCGGACGGAGCUCCCUACUCUUUCCUAUUCCUUUAACCCACACCUGUGUCUCUCUCGGGAGACGCAAGCUCUUUUAUCAUUUAACAACACACCAGUCGAUUGUAUGUUCGAAACACUAUAAAACACAAUAAAACUUUCAACAACGGAUCUCUUGGUUCUCGCAUCGAUGAAGAACGCAGCGAAUUGCGAUAAGUAAUGUGAAUUGCAGAAUUCAGUGAAUCAUCGAAUCUUUGAACGCACCUUGCGCUCCUUGGUAUUCCGAGGAGCAUGCCUGUUUGAGUGUCAUGAAACACUCUCAACCGGGUGUCCUUUCUUUGUUGAGAGGCGCGCGGCUUGGACUUGGACGGUUCUGCUGGCCCUGAUUUAGUUCGGGGGUCGGCUCGUCUUAAAACGAUCAGUGGGUGUGUGCGUCCUGUGCUGGUGAAGCGCGGGCGGUGCCUUGACAUGAUAAGAAAUUGUCGUCGAGAUGCUGUCUGUGUGUGUGUGUGGGUUUCUUUGGAGACACGCAGACUAGCCGGUGCGACUAACGACGCAUGCGAACUGCUUCUAACGAUACUGUGUGGGGAGCCUUGACGGGCGCUCUGCACACACUUCUGAUCGGCCUCAAAUCAGGUAGGACUACCCGCUGAACUUAAGCAUAUCAAUAAGCGGAGGAAAAG